rnacentral:misc_RNA from 1 species
AAGUCGUAACAAGGUUUCCGUAGGUGAACCUGCGGAAGGAUCAUUACAACGUAUCCACGUAUAAACCUUUGUGAACAUGUUUAACCGCGUAGUUGUGAGCUGUCGCAAAGCUGUACCACGAUUCGGAAAUAAAGUGGUACAGCCCGCUUCUCUCUUGCAGAGAAGGGACAUCACGGCUGUGUUUUUCCGUUUACAUUAUUAACCACUGUAACUUUCUAUGUACUUACGAAUUAAAGACGAAAGCUUUUUCUUCGAUAAAUAUAAGAAAUUAUAGCACAACUCUUAGCAACGGAUAUCUAGGCUCUC